GCGGCCUGAGACAGCGAACCAAUGGAGCGCCGACUCAGCAGGCUGAAGCCCGCUCUGCCUUUGCAUCCGGAGACGCGGGCUGUUCGCGUGGUCUCUGCUCCUGCCACUUCCCCUGCUGUCGCCUUAGCACCAUGGAAGCCACCAAGCAAGUGGUUAACUUUGGGCCCGGGCCUGCCAAGCUGCCACACUCGGUAUUGUUGGAGAUCCAGAAGCAGCUACUAGACUACAGAGGACUCGGCAUCAGUGUGCUCGAAAUGAGUCACAGGUCAUCAGAUUUUGCCAAGAUUAUUGGCAAUACAGAGAAUCUUGUGAGGGAAUUGCUAGCUGUUCCCAACAACUACAAGGUGAUCUUUGUACAAGGAGGUGGGUCUGGCCAGUUCAGUGCUGUCCCCUUAAAUCUGAUUGGCCUGAAAGCUGGAAGGAGUGCUGACUACGUGGUGACCGGAGCUUGGUCAGCUAAGGCUGCGGAAGAAGCCAAGAAGUUUGGAACGGUGAACAUUGUCCACCCUAAACUUGGAAGUUACACAAAAAUUCCAGACCCAAGCACCUGGAACCUCAACCCGGACGCCUCCUAUGUAUACUUCUGUGCAAACGAGACUGUGCACGGGGUGGAGUUUGACUUCGUACCUGACGUCAAGGGAGCGGUGCUGGUCUGUGACAUGUCCUCAAACUUCUUAUCCAGGCCGGUGGAUGUUUCCAAGUUUGGUGUGAUUUUCGCUGGUGCUCAGAAGAAUGUUGGCUCUGCCGGGGUGACGGUGGUGAUUGUCCGGGAUGACCUGCUGGGGUUCUCGCUCAGAGAGUGCCCAUCAGUCCUUGACUACAAAGUGCAGGCUGGGAACAACUCUUUGUAUAACACACCUCCGUGCUUCAGUUGGUGAAAAUAAAGAUGCGGUGACAAUGCCUGUAUUCCCGGGGCUUAGGAGACAGAAGAAUCAGGAGUUCAAGGUCAUGUUUGACUGUUUAGCAAAUGCAGGGCAACACAUGGCCUGUGCAGACAGAGGCUCUUGGGAGGCUCGGAGCAGCUGGAACCUCAGGUGUAGGGGAGUUGACCUCAGGGCCAGCUAUAUGAAGGCCUUCAUAAGCUUCUGAGAGGGUUAUGACAUCUAGAUCCCACCCCAAGCUUAUCUGCAGCCUGGAGACUUCUGGUGACCUUUCCUAAACUCUGACACACAGGGUAUAAUUCAUAUUGUUUAAAAAUAUAUAUAAAUAGCACCCACACUUAGCAAAAGUUACCAGGGAAACACUGCCUGCCUAUCUAGUCACCCCUCUUUAACCAUCGAAGACUCUUUCCAGGACCCCCAAGGGGUCCAAAAUCCUUUAUUAUUAUUAUUUUUUAAAGAUGUAUUUAUUUUAUGUAUGUGAGUGCACUGUUGUCUUCAGACACACCAGUAGAAGGCAUCAGAUCCCAGUACAGAUGGUUGUGAGCCACCAUGUGGUUGCUGGGAAUUGAACUCAGGACCUCUGGAAGAGCAGCCGGUGCUCUUAACCACUGAGCCAUCUCUCAAGCCCAGAGUCCAAAAUUCUUAGGUGGUCAAAUCUCUUUUUAAAAAAUAGCCUAGUAUAUAGCUAUGCACAUCUUCAUGCUUUAAGUCAUCUCUAGAUUAUUUAUAAUACCUAAUACAAUAUAAAUGCUCUAAGUAAUUUAUAUACUGUAUUGGGAAAGGAGUAAAGACAAGGAAAAGAUUUGUUUGUAUUCACUCUAGACGCUGAUUUUGAAAUAUUUUUUUUCUGUAAAAGGUUGGCUGAACCCCUGGUUACCAAAUUUGGGAGUUUGAAGAGGUCAGAUGUAUACUGUCAUAUAUUUAAUUGUGUCAGUGAACUGUGACACCCGUAACACAGGUUUAACUGUGAACCAUGCUGCUUAGACUUGUGUGACUCCGUUUUUUAACCCAGCAGUGUACCGUGGGCAUUCUCAUGUGUUAGGUUAAAUGCCUGCCCUUUCCACCAUUGUUUUCAUAGCUGGAUGCUAUUGCAGGGGACAUUUCAGGCAUGCUUAGGUGGUAAGCCUACUUGGUGUGUUUGGGGGUAGACCGAUUUAGAAGUAGAGGCAUCAGUCAAUUAAAAGUGUGCACCAGUGGUGGAAAGAACUGGGCUCAAGUUGUAAAUCCACAUAGCAUUAUAAGGCUCCUGUAGUUUCAAGAGUUUUGGCUUUAGAGGAUAGAGGUUUGAGUUAGUGAUGAAGUGGAAUCUAGAAGACCUUGUGGUAAGCAUUCACAGGGGCCCAAUGGCAGUGCUUAGCCAGGGGCUGGGUGGGGAAGCAGGCAGGAGCUUGCUCCGAGCAGCCUGCUUCCUUCUGAUCCAGCUGCUGCUUGCUGAGGCAUUGGAGACCCAGGCUGAGGGGCCUGGCUGCAGGCAGUCUGUAGAAAUGUGUUGGCUUUCUGCUGCUUUCGCCUGCUCAGAUCCUAAGAAGGCAGCCACAGGGUAUGGGCAGCCAGCCUGAACAUGGCGGGGCUCCAGCGUUGGUCCUGAGGUCUAGCUGAGACAGGCCCUUGCUGGUUUGGAUUUUCUUAGAGAAUCUACAGUUUUGAAACAUAGGCAUAAGAGAGCAUCAGGUAAAAGUGACUGUGGUUUCCUAAAAGUGUUCGUCAUGAUUCUCCUUGGCUCUGGUAGUCUGGGAUGUUUCUGUGGUUCAUAGGCGAGUAGGCUGUAGAUGGUGGGACGAGCAGUUUGUGGUUAUGUACUUCUUGUCAAGUUCUCUGUGUCUGGUGUUGCUUUCUGUUGCCUUCUGGGAAGAAACUCUGUGGUUCUUGGCCUACCUGGUUGAGCCAGUGAAUGGCCAAUCGGUCCAUGUCAGAGGUUUCUGAGGGAUAGUAGCCCUUUGGCUGUCAGAGAUCUGUGAGCUUUGGCUGCUCUCCCAGGCCCUGUGCUGAGCAUACGGUUUGUGGGAGAUAAGAAGUAUGAAUACUUGGCUCAGUACUGGAUAGUCCUGUCUUGUGGCUGGACCUCCUAGAACCAGGAACACAAAUCUUCUACCAUGACCAGGAAGCAGCCUAGCUGGGGCAUCCCUAUCACCAUUUUUGCUCAGCCUUCCCAUCAGACCUUGGCAGCUCCCAUAGUUUACCUUUAUCCCACACCCGGACACAGCUACGCUCUAGAGAGAAUGGAGCCGAUGCCUCCGGACUCCAAGCUCAAGGAGGACAGGAGACCUGCUUCUGCUUCUUGGGCUUUCAGUGAGGGGUAUAUGGGAUCUUUCUAAAGGCAGUUAGAAGAUUUUUGGCCAACUACCCAUCAUUCUCAAAUCCCAUUUAAUUUCAGCUGUGCGUGGAUACCUAACAGCUACCAUUUGGGUAGGCUAUGCUUACCAGGCCCUGUGCCAAGCAUGGGUUUUGUGGGAGAUAAGAAGUCUUAACACUUGGCUCAGAAAGAGAUGGACCUGUGUUGUGUUGUGGCUGGGCCUCAGAAACAGGAACACAAAUCUUACACUAUCUAUUCCCUACUAUCCUGGGUUUUUUUGUGGGGGGGGGGUUCAUUUUGAGAACAGUCUUGUUAUGUAGCUCAGGCUGGCCUUGGACUCUGUAGUCCAGGCUGAGCCAUCCUUCUGCCUCAGUCUCCCACUCACUAAGGUUACAGGUCGGUUGCUCUCCAUUUCUGAUCCCUGCUUCUCUAGCUAGUAUGUUGGCUUCGCUGUGGCUAGAAACGAGAUCUGCUGGGGCUCAUCUUCUACCCGGAAGGUGCUAGUUCAGUCCUGGCUUUCCCAACUCCCAGCUUAGAAGAUGCCAGGGAAGCUGCUGAUUGGUGUAGUUAGGUCUCGUGCCCACCUCUUACGGCCAGGGGAGCAAAUCUUGCAGCUCAAUCUGCAUGUUGGAUGUGGGGGAGCUGAAAAGAACAGGAUAGGCCCAACUACCAGGCAUCCGCCACGGGUAGUGAUGACUCCGUGCCCUCAGAGGUAAAGACAAGCUGACAUUUACAUGGUGACUAGUCCUGUGUGGUCCAUCACUGCCCAUCUCUGCCUGGUGGGAGGCACUAACUUGGGACUCUGGGAUAGAAAAGAACAGUGUGUGCCUCCAGCCCUCUAGCAUUAGAGUCUAAGACAUAGACAUGGUCACAGAAGUUUAAAAUAAAGAAACGGAAUGAUAAAACAAAAGCAGGGCGGACCCCACAAGUGUGGAUCAUGCCUACGAGCAAGGGACUGUAGGGAUUCAGGAGGUGUGGAGAGCUGGCUUAGGGUGGGUUGGGGAGACAGUCUAGAGCAGUGGUUCUCAACCUUCCUACUAAUGCCACCCUUUGUUUCAGUUCCUCAUGUUGUGCUGACCCCCAACCAUAAAGUUAUUUUCAUUGCUACUUCAAAAUUGUAAUGUAAAUAUCUGUGUUUUCUGACGGUUUUAGGCAACCCUGUUUAGAGUCAUUGAGUCAGGGUUGUCUAAAGAGAUGGGGGGGGUGUGGUCCCCCUUUGCAGAGGGUCUGGCGCUCUGGGUUACCUCUUUAGAAUACCAUGUGAACAUCAGCUGCAUUGGCUUAGUUAACUUGGCUCACUCUUCGAGUGGAAUGCUUUUAUCCAUUUGUAACGAUGCUGAAAGUGUCUGCGUGACUCCCAGUACCAGUUUGCUUAUAUGUCCUUUUGGCUUUUGGGAGGUGAACUAACUGGUGUUAUGUUUUAUCCCUGCUUCAGCAUCUACGUCAUGGGCAUGGUCCUGGAAUGGAUCAAGAACAACGGCGGGGCCGCAGCCAUGGAGAAGCUCAGCUCCAUCAAAUCCCAAAUGAUUUAUGAGAUCAUUGAUAAUUCUCAAGGAUUUUAUGUAUGCCCAGUGGAGCGCCAGAAUAGAAGCAGGAUGAACAUCCCAUUUCGCAUUGGCAACGCCAAAGGAGACGAAGCUUUGGAAAAGCGGUUUCUUGACAAGGCGGUAGAACUCAACAUGAUCUCCUUGAAGGGGCACAGGUCAGUGGGAGGCAUUCGUGCCUCUCUGUAUAACGCUGUCACAACCGAAGACGUUGAGAAGCUGGCGGCCUUCAUGAAGAAUUUCUUGGAGAUGCAUCAGCUGUGAACAUGACCAGCCACGCUCUGCCUGUGAGCAGCACGCAGCGUCGUUUAGAGUAACUUGGGAUUGACUACAGAAACUUAACAGACAUGGAUUUUUUUUUCCCAAAUACAUGCUUAUUACAGAUUCCUUUCUCAAAGAAUAACGACUAAACAUCAGGGCACUGCAGAGCUGAGGAAACUCCCAGCUAACAGCCACCUUCAUUCUCAUGUGACCUGGAAGCAUUUUGAAAGCUUUCUUUCCUGUUGCUCUUCUAAAUGAAUUCAGCCUGUCAGCCAUCUUUGCUGCCCCCUUCUCUAGGUGGACUGCCUUGGGCUUUGCCCUGCUGGUUCCAACUGGUUAUUAUUAGGAGGUUGGAGGCCCUGUGGGCUGGAUUGACAGCAGUGAGUUUGCUGGGUUCUGCAGCAGUUGGUUCAAGUCAACAGCGACUCACGAGCGUUUUGGAUCUGUGUACUGCAAUUCCCAUAAAGAGAUAGGUGUGUUAUGCUGUGUUUAUGUAGUGGGUAUUGUUUUAAACACCGUACGGUUUAUGCCUAUGCCUUUAUAUUUCUAAUGAAACAGUUUUGUUCAGCCCAUGACUUUGUGCAUGACUGUCGUCCGUUCUAGUCACCUGUGCUCUCCAUCUACUGCCUUUUAAAGCUGCGUCAUGAGAAGGAUCUACACGUUCCACCAUGACUCUCGUUUCUUGCCACAAGUAGAAGAAAUGGUUGAUUCUUUGCUUUUCGGUUAGGCCGUUAAACAAAACUCAGUCACACCCCUGCCUUCCACCCUCAAACUGUGAUCACGUGGCUGUUCUUGUAGUUUAACCAGGGCAACACUAUAUAUUCCAGGUCUAUACAUUGCUGAGGUCUUUUUCUGGUUGUUCAUGUAUCAGUGUUUUCAAUCGACUGCAUGGAAAACAUUAAAGUCCUAAGUCAUCUAAGCCA